rnacentral:lncRNA from 1 species
CCCCUCUGGGAACUGCUGAGUCAUAAGUACCAGGGGUCGAACUGGGGACCUUGAGCUUGUGAGGCAGGCGGCACCACUGAGCUACAUCCCCAGCCCCGACCUCUGUAUUCUUACUAGUGUCUUUGUCUUAAAGUAUAUCUUAUUUGUUAUUGACAUAGCUUUAGCAGUACAAUUAGUAUUUUGCCUUUAAUGUGAACAUUUCUCUGUCAUCAUGUUCUAGGUAUAUUUCUUGUAAACAGCAUGGAAGAGGAUUUUUAAGAAUCCAGUCUGUCUAAUCCUCCAUCUGUAUUGUCACUAAUGGCAAAAUACAUGAAAGUGCACUACAACUACUAGGAUAGUUGGAUUUAAUUUUAUCACUUUCAUUUUUUAUUCCACUCAUUCUACUCAUUUGAAAUAAACAAAACUGAAUUCAUUGCCAGCACAUCUGUACUACAAGAAGAAUGAAAGGAAUUUCUUCAGGCAGAAGGAAAUGAUGGCAGGUGGCAAUUCGCAUCCACAAAGAAAUGAAGCUUUAGUGGUAAAAUAUAGAUGGCUUGUCCCUAUAUUGUAAAUGUAUUUGAUCGAUGAUUGACUGAUUAAAGGAAAAGAAAACAAUAUGUUAUGUGAGAGACUUUAGGACGGUAAUAGCAUAGAUGAUGGAAAAGGAAAAUGGGACUAUAUUGUAGUAAAAUUUCUACAGUGUACAUGAAGUGAUUUCUAGUACUUGAAGACAGAAGUUAUAAGUUCAUGCUAUACAUUUUAAACCCUACGUCAACCACACACACCCCAAAAAUGGCAAAGGAGCAUUAAUAAACCUGUCCUGGAGACAAGAUGGCGUCAUUUAAAGCAGUCAAUCCAAGCGAAGGUAGAUAAAAAGAAAGGAGUAUACAGAAAAUGAAACAAGCAGAAAAGAUGGCAUAUUUAAAUCUAAAGAUGUAAUUAAGUACAAGUAUAUAUAGUCUACAUACUACAGUUAAAAUGGCACAUAUUUUCAUAAUUUAAAAAAGCAAGACACAACUACAUCCUCUCUACAAGAAACCUACUUCCUAUGUAAAGACACAGAUAGGUUAAAUAUAAAGAGAUAGAAGAGCUGUCCCACACAAAUACCAAUCAAAAAUGAACUGCAGGGCAGGGGAGUUAGCUCAGUGGUUCCACUGCCUGCCUCGCAAGCACAAGGACCUGAGUUGGAUCCCCAGUACCAAAAAAAAAAAAAAAAAAAACCAUGAACUGCAGUGGCUAUAUUACUAUCUAACUGAGCAGAUUUCAGAGAAAAAAAUUAUCAGAUUAUACAGAAAGAAGGAUAGUUUAACAAAAAAGAGAUUAACUCAUCAUGAG